UGGCGACCGGCGCACGGGUGAGUAACGCGUAUGCAAUCUACCUAUAACUGGGGCAUAACCCGUCGAAAGGCGGACUAAUUUCCCAUAAGACCACGGUGCGGCAUCGUACUGGGGUAAAAGCUGAGGCGGUUAUAGAUGAGCAUGCGUUCCAUUAGCUAGUUGGUGAGGUAACGGCCCACCAAGGCUACGAUGGAUAGGGGUUCUGAGAGGAAGGCCCCCCACACUGGGACUGAGACACGGCCCAGACUCCUACGGGAGGCAGCAGUGAGGAAUAUUGGUCAAUGGGCGCAAGCCUGAACCAGCCAUGCCGCGUGAAGGAAGACGGCCUUAUGGGUUGUAAACUUCUUUUAUGAGGGAGCAAUAAGGGAUACGUGUAUUCCGAUGAGAGUACCUUAUGAAUAAGCAUCGGCUAACUCCGUGCCAGCAGCCGCGGUAAUACGGAGGAUGCGAGCGUUAUCCGGAUUUAUUGGGUUUAAAGGGUGCGUAGGCGGACUAUUAAGUCAGUGGUGAAAGUUUGUCGCUUAACGGUAAAAUUGCCGUUGAUACUGGUAGUCUUGAGUGUAUUUGAGGUAGGCGGAAUGUGUGGUGUAGCGGUGAAAUGCUUAGAGAUCACACAGAACACCGAUUGCGAAGGCAGCUUGCUAAGAUACAACUGACGCUGAGGCACGAAAGUGUGGGGAUCAAACAGGAUUAGAUACCCUGGUAGUCCACGCCGUA
rnacentral:rRNA from 1 species